UACGUAGGGGCAAGCGUUGUCCGGAUUUAUUGGGCGUAAAGAGCGUGUAGGCGGCUUGGUAGGUCCGCUGUGAAAACUCGGAGGCUCCAACCUCGAGAUGUCGGCGGAAACCACUUGGCUAGAGUCCGGAAGAGGAGAGUGGGAAUUCCCGGUGUAGCGGUGAAAUGCGCAGAUAUCGGGAAGAACACCUAUGGCGAAGGCAGCUCUCUGGGACGGUACUGACGCUGAGACGCGAAAGCGUGGGGAGCGAACAGG
rnacentral:rRNA from 1 species